GGGAUAUUUAAACUCUAGGGAAGGGGGGAGAAUUAAUAAAAAAUAUCAAACAACAACUAAAUUUUCUGGCAUGUGUUUGUCAAUAACCUGAUUCCAAGUGCUCUUUUGUGAAGCUGAAGAACAAAAGUUUGAAACUGUCUCAUGGCACAGGCAUUUGCGUUGGGCAACUAGGGCGACUGAAUUGAACAUGAGCUCAUCGCAGCAUAUUGAAGUAAGCUGGCAUCCUGCCUUGGUCACCCCCUUGCUUCAGCAGAUUUGUACACUCCAUAAUUUACAAAGCCAACGCAGCCUUAGUAAAGUUCGCCCGCUUCUCCCACCAUCACUACUGUGCAGGCAGUUGCGGUGAGGAUUGGUGCAGCUUUUGCGCAGUAAUUUGUGCUCAGAAUUCUGACCAGAUUUUUUUUUCUUUGUCAAGGAAAAAAGGGGGCACAUCAACUUAUUUUAAUUUGGGAUUCAUUGGAGCAUGCAUCAAAGAGAAUCAGAAAUUUUCCUGAUAUAAAAUAAUAUUUAUAUACAAUGCUGCAAAAUAUUUAUAUACAAUAUAUUGAAUAAAAUAAACAAAAAUAAAUGAACAUCUGCUUUUCCAAAUAUAACACAAAAAACUUGAAUCUUCUAUAGCAUCGCAGAAACUGAGACAUGCUAGACCUCUCUUAAGUAAAGUGCCUUGCCUUACCCAGAGCUAAACUUUUCUGUUUUUUAAAAUUAUUUCAUUUUGUUGGCAUCGCUUCACUGUUGCAUUCAUAAGAGUGUUCCAAAGAGGCUGAAAAAAGUUUUGAGUGAUUGCAGCAAAAAAUUAUGUUGGGCACUUGGAAAGGAAUCUAACAUGGAUCAUCAGCACAGCGACAGAAGGUUUAUCGAAGUCAAGGGUUUUCUAGGUCUAAGAUGUACAGAAAUUAAAAAAGCUAAUUUUAAGGGUAAAUGGCAGCCUACACCGGCAGCCCUGGGGACAAGUCUGGGAAAACUCUUGGUAGGACACUAAUUCAUCAUAAGAUACCUAUGAAGUGGAAUAAUGAUACAUUUGGUCCAUUAGAAAACCAGAUUACGAAGGUUUCGAAACAGAAAUUCAAGACAUUGAAGGUGCAAAAGGUAAAAAUACAGACCUGAGACCUCUGUACAUGGGCAUAUUUUGUUAGAAUUAAUAUUUCUGACUUCACAAUAUCAAUGUAUUAAAUGAACCAAAGAAAAACUGAUCAAUUGUUAUUAAAGAAUCCUUUGUUAACCA